AUGGCUCAGAUUGAACGCUGGCGGCAUGCCUUACACAUGCAAGUCGAACGGCAGCACGGGGGCAACCCUGGUGGCGAGUGGCGAACGGGUGAGUAAUAUAUCGGAACGUACCCUGGAGUGGGGGGUAACGUAGCGAAAGUUACGCUAAUACCGCAUACGAUCUAAGGAUGAAAUGGGGGAUCGCAAGACCUCAUGCUCCCGGAGCGGCCGAUAUCUGAUUAGCUAGUUGGUGGGGUAAAGGCCUACCAAGGCAUCGAUCAGUAGCUGGUCUGAGAGGACGACCAGCCACACUGGGACUGAGACACGGCCCAGACUCCUACGGGAGGCAGCAGUGGGGAAUUUUGGACAAUGGGGGCAACCCUGAUCCAGCAAUGCCGCGUGAGUGAAGAAGGCCUUCGGGUUGUAAAGCUCUUUUGUCAGGGAAGAAACGGUUGGGGCUAAUAUCCUCGGCUAAUGACGGUACCUGAAGAAUAAGCACCGGCUAACUACGUG
rnacentral:rRNA from 1 species